rnacentral:rRNA from 1 species
GAGCUUGCUUAAUGUUCUUAGUGGCGGACGGGUGCGUUAACGUGAGUAACCUGCCUCUGAGAGUGGGAUAGCUUCUGGUAACGGAUGGUAAUACCGCAUAACAUCAUGGAUUCGCAUGUUUCUAUGAUCGAAGAUUUAUCGCUUAGAGAUGGACUCGCGUCUGAUUAGCUAGUUGGUAAGGUAACGGCUUACCAAGGCGACGAUCAGUAGCCGGACUGAGAGGUUGAUCGGCCACAUUGGGACUGAGACACGGCCCAGACUCCUACGGGAGGCAGCAGUGGGGAAUAUUGCACAAUGGGGGAAACCCUGAUGCAGCGAUGCCGCGUGGAGGAAGAAGGUUUUCGGAUUGUAAACUCCUGUUGAAGAGGACGAUAAUGACGGUACUCUUUUAGAAAGCUCCGGCUAACUACGUGCCAGCAGCCGCGGUAAUACGUAGGGAGCGAGCGUUGUCCGGAAUUACUGGGUGUAAAGGGAGCGUAGGCGGGAUGGCAAGUCAGAUGUGAAAACUAUGGGCUCAACCCAUAGACUGCAUUUGAAACUGUUGUUCUUGAGUGAGGUAGAGGUAAGCGGAAUUCCUGGUGUAGCGGUGAAAUGCGUAGAGAUCAGGAGGAACAUCGGUGGCGAAGGCGGCUUACUGGGCCUUUACUGACGCUGAGGCUCGAAAGCGUGGGGA